rnacentral:rRNA from 1 species
UGCCAGACUCCUACGGGAGGCAGCAGUGAGGAAUAUUGGUCAAUGGGCGGGAGCCUGAACCAGCCAAGUCGCGUGAGGGAAUAAGGCCCUACGGGUCGUAAACCUCUUUUGCCGGGGAGCAAGGGCGGGGACGUGUCCCGGCCCGGAGAGUACCCGGAGAAAAAGCAUCGGCUAACUCCGUGCCAGCAGCCGCGGUAAUACGGAGGAUGCGAGCGUUAUCCGGAUUUAUUGGGUUUAAAGGGUGCGUAGGCGGUCGGAUAAGUUAGAGGUGAAAUCCCGAGGCUCAACUUCGGAAUUGCCUCUGAUACUGUUCGGCUAGAGAGUAGUUGCGGUAGGCGGAAUGUAUGGUGUAGCGGUGAAAUGCUUAGAGAUCAUACAGAACACCGAUUGCGAAGGCAGCUUACCAAGCUACUUCUGACGUUGAGGCACGAAAGCGUGGGGAGCAAACAGGAUUAGAUACCCCAGUAC